rnacentral:rRNA from 1 species
GGGACACGUGGUAUCCUGUCUGAAUAUGGGGGGACCAUCCUCCAAGGCUAAAUACUCCUGACUGACCGAUAGUGAACCAGUACCGUGAGGGAAAGGCGAAAAGAACCCCGGCGAGGGGAGUGAAAAAGAACCUGAAACCGUGUACGUACAAGCAGUGGGAGCACGCUUAGGCGUGUGACUGCGUACCUUUUGUAUAAUGGGUCAGCGACUUAUAUUCUGUAGCAAGGUUAACCGAAUAGGGGAGCCGAAGGGAAACCGAGUCUUAACUGGGCGUUAAGUUGCAGGGUAUAGACCCGAAACCCGGUGAUCUAGCCAUGGGCAGGUUGAAGGUUGGGUAACACUAACUGGAGGACCGAACCGACUAAUGUUGAAAAAUUAGCGGAUGACUUGUGGCUGGGGGUGAAAGGCCAAUCAAACCGGGAGAUAGCUGGUUCUCCCCGAAAGCUAUUUAGGUAGCGCCUCGUGAAUUCAUCUCCGGGGGUAGAGCACUGUUUCGGCAAGGGGGUCAUCCCGACUUACCAACCCGAUGCAAACUGCGAAUACCGGAGAAUGUUAUCACGGGAGACACACGGCGGGUGCUAACGUCCGUCGUGAAGAGGGAAACAACCCAGACCGCCAGCUAAGGUCCCAAAGUCAUGGUUAAGUGGGAAACGAUGUGGGAAGGCCCAGACAGCCAGGAUGUUGGCUUAGAAGCAGCCAUCAUUUAAAGAAAGCGUAAUAGCUCACUGGUCGAGUCGGCCUGCGCGGAAGAUGUAACGGGGCUAAACCAUGCACCGAAGCUGCGGCAGCGACGCUUAUGCGUUGUUGGGUAGGGGAGCGUUCUGUAAGCCUGUGAAGGUGUGCUGUGAGGCAUGCUGGAGGUAUCAGAAGUGCGAAUGCUGACAUAAGUAACGAUAAAGCGGGUGAAAAGCCCGCUCGCCGGAAGACCAAGGGUUCCUGUCCAACGUUAAUCGGGGCAGGGUGAGUCGACCCCUAAGGCGAGGCCGAAAGGCGUAGUCGAUGGGAAACAGGUUAAUAUUCCUGUACUUGGUGUUACUGCGAAGGGGGGACGGAGAAGGCUAUGUUGGCCGGGCGACGGUUGUCCCGGUUUAAGCGUGUAGGCUGGUUUUCCAGGCAAAUCCGGAAAAUCAAGGCUGAGGCGUGAUGACGAGGCACUACGGUGCUGAAGCAACAAAUGCCCUGCUUCCAGGAAAAGCCUCUAAGCAUCAGGUAACAUCAAAUCGUACCCCAAACCGACACAGGUGGUCAGGUAGAGAAUACCAAGGCGCUUGAGAGAACUCGGGUGAAGGAACUAGGCAAAAUGGUGCCGUAACUUCGGGAGAAGGCACGCUGAUAUGUAGGUGAAGCGACUUGCUCGUGGAGCUGAAAUCAGUCGAAGAUACCAGCUGGCUGCAACUGUUUAUUAAAAACACAGCACUGUGCAAACACGAAAGUGGACGUAUACGGUGUGACGCCUGCCCGGUGCCGGAAGGUUAAUUGAUGGGGUCAGCGCAAGCGAAGCUCUUGAUCGAAGCCCCGGUAAACGGCGGCCGUAACUAUAACGGUCCUAAGGUAGCGAAAUUCCUUGUCGGGUAAGUUCCGACCUGCACGAAUGGCGUAAUGAUGGCCAGGCUGUCUCCACCCGAGACUCAGUGAAAUUGAACUCGCUGUGAAGAUGCAGUGUACCCGCGGCAAGACGGAAAGACCCCGUGAACCUUUACUAUAGCUUGACACUGAACAUUGAGCCUUGAUGUGUAGGAUAGGUGGGAGGCUUAGAAGUGUGGACGCCAGUCUGCAUGGAGCCGACCUUGAAAUACCACCCUUUAAUGUUUGAUGUUCUAACGUUGACCCGUAAUCCGGGUUGCGGACAGUGUCUGGUGGGUAGUUUGACUGGGGCGGUCUCCUCCUAAAGAGUAACGGAGGAGCACGAAGGUUGGCUAAUCCUGGUCGGACAUCAGGAGGUUAGUGCAAUGGCAUAAGCCAGCUUGACUGCGAGCGUGACGGCGCGAGCAGGUGCGAAAGCAGGUCAUAGUGAUCCGGUGGUUCUGAAUGGAAGGGCCAUCGCUCAACGGAUAAAAGGUACUCCGGGGAUAACAGGCUGAUACCGCCCAAGAGUUCAUAUCGACGGCGGUGUUUGGCACCUCGAUGUCGGCUCAUCACAUCCUGGGGCUGAAGUAGGUCCCAAGGGUAUGGCUGUUCGCCAUUUAAAGUGGUACGCGAGCUGGGUUUAGAACGUCGUGAGACAGUUCGGUCCCUAU